rnacentral:lncRNA from 1 species
UUAUACUUUAAUUUUUUUGUUUCCUGUUAGUCAUCAUCACACCGGGAUUUAAGAGAACAAGGUCCGCAUUUACCCACACAGGUGACAAUCAGGACCAAUUGCAAGUCUGUCAAUAGUGCUGACCUGUGUCUACCUGAAGUGGUUACUUGUACACAAAUCCACACCUGCCAGAUCUGCGCCAACUCAGAACCGAGGCAGGAGAGAGAAAAUACUGACCCACUUACAGCGUUGGUGCCACCCGACUCCUCAGCCGCCCGGAAGCCGAUCGUCUGCCUUUCCCCACCGCGUCAGCGCCGUGUCCCGAGCUGAAGGCCGGCGAGGAUGGCGCAGGCAGAGCUUGGUUUCAUGGACAAGCAGUUCAGAGUCACGUUUGAGGCAAUUUUUCCAGUUAGGAUAGCUGACUCAAAUUUCAGUUUUUCUUUGCUUCUCGGUUUUGAGGUACCAGAUGUGCUAAGCAUAAUAUGACAUAUUGUUAUCUUUAUUUAUUAGUCUCUGAGAAUUAAUUAUCUUUAGCUGAUACCAAGCUCACCUCUCCCCCAGUCACUGCGUGAUUGCUGUUUCAA